UUAAAAUAUUGAUCCUUUCCAGCCAAGAACAUCGUGCUUUCCAAACCUUUCUGUAUCUUUCAGUAAAAUUUUGAAUUAUCUUAUUAAUUUUUCUUCCUUUUAUCCUGUAUAAACCUCGGAAUCUUAAAUCUGUUGUAUAUGAAGUAAAUUCUUUUGUCCACAAUUGAAACAACCAGAAUUUUAAAAGAAAAAUUUCUUUUAACACCAGUUUACAGAAGUCAAAAUUAAUACAGAUUUAGCCCAAUCUCCAACAAUUUCCACAUUUGCAUUAUUAUAACUCUUGUUUGUAACUUCUGAAAUACUGGAAGAUCUUGUAGUGAAUCAAAGAUUAAAAUACCUACAUAGUUCAGUUCUAAUCUAUAUAAUUUUAUUCUUUUAAAAAUCUACACAUUACGUACAAAACAACCUUUACACUUAGAUUAAUGCUACUUAUAUGAAAGUAGUUAUUGGGGAAACUACUUUUAUUUCAACACUGUUGCCAUUGUACACAUUUUGGAACUCCUCUUUUUGCAACUGUUUGCUAAUUCAAAGACCUUCUGCAACUUUUCGUCUUCUCCUUUCAGCCUUGACUCAAUCUAUGUAAACUUAGCCAGUUAAAACAUACAAUGGUAAAUUCAGAUGUAUUCUCAUACUACUUAACUCACAAAUAUUUAUCCAAUUUCUUUUUCCACUUUGGGCUUCACGUUUCUAAGAAAAAUAAUAAGACAUUUCUCAAUGACUUCUUGAAGAUAUUUACUUUGUAUCUAGGAAGUUUUCUUAAAGACCUUAAUUGCUUAGCUAAAUUCUGCAUUUUAUGAGAACUCAUUUAAAGCAAAGACCUAUGUUUCCCAUUCUCUGCCUCUCUGCCCCCUCAACAUUAACUUUUCUAGUCCUCCAACACGCCAAGUUAAGGGUCUCUACUGAACCUACCCUUCCCUCUGUUCCUCUCCCAGUUCUCCACUUCGUUCACUCCUUCACAACACCUAGGUCUCUACUCAUUGUCAUUCCUCAGAGAAUGAUCAUGCUAUACAUACAUCCCAACAAACUCUAAGGCUUCAAAUCUCUGUAUAGCAGUCAUGAUCUGAAAUUAUAUUAUUUACUUGUCUGCAUCCCCCACUAGAAUGUAAGCUCUAUGAGAGCAGAGUCUUAUACUAGUAUCUGCAAUAUAACAUAAACAUGUUAUUCACAUAAGUGAACUCUCUCAAAGGGCAAUAGAAAUGAUACCUACAGAUACAUGGAAAAGCAGGGAUUCUAGAGCUUGGCAAUGAAAGCACAUAUCCUUAUUUCCCUGUUGAGGUCAUGUGGAGAAUGAUUUAUUAAAAGACGACACAUUUCUAGAUGAGUUACUGGAGCAAGAUAUCUACCCAUUCCUACCUCCCUAUGCUGCUGCUAAAGGGAAUUCUGGGGCUCUAUACCAAGAGGAAUGCGCACAGAAUGCAUUCUUAAUAUCCUGAGAUAAAAAUGAAAAUGCAUUUUCCCACAGAAACAACAUCGCAAAUAGCAAUCAAGGAACUAGUCACUGGUAAUGGAAAUUAUGAUGGCCCCAGAAUAAUAUAGUUCCAAAUAAGGCUGUUAUAUUUUGAAGAUGCCUAGUCUUCUAAAUGGAAACUAACAAAUAAUCAGUACACUGUAGAAACUACUCCCAUUUUCUAUGCAGAACAUAUUUGCUGAGGAGGGACCUAGACUAAAAGAAAUGAGCUUGCCCCUAAUCACUUAUGGUAAAUUAUCCACCUGUUUAUUUACCCAACAAAGCAGAAUGGUAAAAGUAAAAUAAGCAUACAAAACCUAACAUUAUAACCAUGUUUUCCUACAAGGUUGUGUGGCAUACUUUAGUCUUCUACUUACAGACAAGUCAAAAAACUACUUAGUGAGAGCAUAUUACAAUCCAAAGCACUAUACAAAAUACAAUUGCUAUAUGAGUAGCAUAGCAAUAAGCUACUUUUAGAAGCUGCAGAGGAAAUUGUGGUCUGUGAUGACCUAGGGGAAUAUGGGGCAGGGAAAAGUGAGAAUGAAAUGGAUUUGGAUUGAAAUACCAUGAAGAAAAAGAUAGAAUUGGGUUCUAAAUGUCUCUUCUAGUUCUUCAGGCUCUCCCAUCUCUCUUUUCCACUUCUAUAAAGUCAAUUGCACUUACAUAUUGAUGAAUCAGAAAUAAAGAAAGGGUAGGCUAACAGGCAGGAAAGUAUAGCAUGGUAUCAAAGAUCCGAUCCCUAUUGACGUUAUCAAAGUAACAUCUGGCCUCAUUGUGAGGAGAGGGAGUAGCUGACAGGCCAACUCCCCUGUUCAUACUAGUAGAUUGCAAGUUCAGCUCUUGUUUUGUUCCUCCUAACCAACCCCUGGAUUACUACUUUUCUAGCCAAUCAACAAAUAGUACUUCUACUAUGCAAAGACUUGGACAGGUACUGAUUUUAACUUUCUCCUAUUCUGAGUAAGAGUCCUUUUCUUUUCGAGGCACCAGUACAUUUCCUUUGGGCUUCCCUUCAACUCAACCUUCACCCAUGAGUCAGUGUUUUCACUCUCCCUUUUAUCUUUUGGAAAUCCUGGACUCACGCUUACUCCAAGCUCCACCCAGAUUUCCCAUUAGAGUCAUCCCUUUCAAAGAGUCCCCAGGCAUACCUGCACUUGAAAGCCAACUCCAGCUAGAGAAUAUCUUAGUCAACUACAGAAACGUUCACUUAGGACAGUCGUUCUCACACUACAGGAAGCACAGAAUCACCUAGCUAGCUAAUUAAAACACACUCUCCAAGUUCCUGACUUCUUAAGUCUAGAGUAAAACCCCAUAAUUUGCAUUUCCAACAAGUUCCCAGGUGAUGUUGACGCUGCUCAUCCCGGGCAACACUUUGAGAACCACUAAUUUAGGAGUAUUCCUUUAUAUUUUAAGGAUUAUCACGACCUCAAACAGCUGUCAUUCUAUCCUGGGGCUAGACCUUAAUAGGUACUUUUUAGUGAAAAGUCUAUGAUUAAUUCUUACAGGUGAAGAGGAAAAAAUAAGCUAGAGUGUGAGAUCAUUAAAAUUUGGGAAUGUCGGUAGUAUCGCUGGAACCAGGUCAAGGCUAGUUAGUAAGAAUCGAGGACGGGGGAAUAAAAGAAAGUCUUACAUAUUUUGGCGCUUAUUAGAAAUCCCUCCAAACAAGUAUUAUUCGACGUGUCUUUUGUAAAGCAGUCCCACCAUGAAAACUGCCUACUCUUCCCAUAGCACUCUCCCGACAGCAUUUCCCAGCGCUCCAACAAAACUCUGCCAAUCAGUGUCAAAACAGCCCUGCCAGCCCCACAGAAGCAGGCAAUGGGCAGGGUUUCCCAGAGCAACACCUAAAAAGGGCUGGGUCUGGAGAAAAGCUGAACUCAGAUUCGAAUUUUAAGUGAAUUUUCCUACCCGCGCCCCCAAGUCAGCGUACUUCAAGAAAUCUCACCCUGAAAACACUGGCAAAGGUUGCUAAAGCCGCUUUUUGCGGACCAAGCCGGCUCAACAAGCUGCACUGGGGAAGGAAAACGACAUGAAAAGAUGCAAAGGCGGCCAACAGGCUUUCCACAUUUCACACUGGAAACGAAGUCACCCUGCCUCAACUUCAGGAUCCAUGAGAAACUAUAACUUUUGACAGACUCAACUGAGUGCACUUGUCCACUUCACAAAGCAUUUAGUUUGCCAUGGCAAAGCUGAGUAGCGCACCAAAAACGUGUGCAUGCAAAACAGCAGUGGAAAAUACAGUGAAGGUCUUUAUAACUACAACGUAUGCAAACUGAAAACAUCAACAAAAUCAAUGCUGAAAACAAUGAACUUUGGGGAGAACUUGACAGAAGAUGAAGAAAGAUCUAGAGCUAAAGAAGUCACUGAGUAACAAACUGGUUUGUCUUGGGUAACCAGAGCCAAAGGAGUCCAAAUAUCUGACUCCCAACUCCAGGCUGUAUCUAAUACGUCUAAUAUCACCAUGAUGAGAAGAAGCAAAGUACCCAUCACUGAUAUGCAUAUUAAUCCCAAGGUAUUACUUCUCCAACAUAUGUAUAUUGAGCCUUUUUAGAACAUCUAUUUUAUGGAAAAUGCUUCAGUAUAGUUUUGGGGGUUCUUUAAAUCUCAUGAUCCAGAGCAAGAAUAAACUAAAAUGGUCAGUUUUCAACAAACUAAAGAAGACUAGCUAAAGCAUAAAGAAUUGAACACCUAACAGAAAUAAAAUGUCUUACAAAUGUAAUGCCAAGAAACAACCACAGCAAACAGGUUUGUUUCAAAAGUAAAAUUAAGAGAUAUUUUCAUAAUUGUAUUUCAGUCUGGACUGAACUGUAUCUUCCAAUGUAUAGCUGAGAAAACACAUGGAAAAGUAGUGGAACAUAAAUUUUUCCUCAAAUAAACAUAUGUGUGUGCA